CAAGACUCCUACGGGAGGCAGCAGUGGGGAAUAUUGCACAAUGGGGGAAACCCUGAUGCAGCGACGCCGCGUGAGCGAUGAAGUAUUUCGGUAUGUAAAGCUCUAUCAGCAGGGAAGAAAAUGACGGUACCUGACUAAGAAGCCCCGGCUAACUACGUGCCAGCAGCCGCGGUAAUACGUAGGGGGCAAGCGUUUUCCGGAUUUACUGGGUGUAAAGGGAGCGUAGACGGUUCUGCAAGCCAGAUGUGAAAGCCCGGGGCUCAACCCCGGGGCUGCAUUUGGAACUGUAAGGCUAGAGUGUCGGAGAGGCAGGCGGAAUUCCUAGUGUAGCGGUGAAAUGCGUAGAUAUUAGGAGGAACACCAGUGGCGAAGGCGGCCUGCUGGACGAUGACUGACGUUGAGGCUCGAAAGCGUGGGGAGCAAACAGGAUUAGAUACCCCCGUAACA
rnacentral:rRNA from 1 species